rnacentral:rRNA from 1 species
AUUGAACGCUGGCGGCAGGCCUAACACAUGCAAGUCGAACGGUAACAGGAAGAAGCUUGCUUCUUUGCUGACGAGUGGCGGACGGGUGAGUAAUGUCUGGGAAACUGCCUGAUGGAGGGGGAUAACUACUGGAAACGGUAGCUAAUACCGCAUAACGUCGCAAGACCAAAAAGGGGGACCUUCGGGCCUCUUGCCAUCGGAUGUGCCCAGAUGGGAUAGCUAGUAGGGGGGGUAACGGGUCACCUAGGCGACGAUCCCUAGCUGGUCUGAGAGGAUGACCAGCCACACUGGAACUGAGACACGGUCCAGACUCCUACGGGAGGCAGCAGUGGGGAAUAUUGCACAAUGGGCGCAAGCCUGAUGCAGCCAUGCCGCGUGUAUGAAGAAGGCCUUCGGGUUGUAAAGUACUUUCAGCGGGGAGGAAGGGAGUAAAGUUAAUACCUUGGCUCAUUGACGUUACCCGCAGAAGAAGCACCGGCUAACUCCGUG